rnacentral:rRNA from 1 species
GAGUUUGAUCAUGGCUCAGAACGUACGCUGGCGGCACGCCUAACACAUGCAAGUCGAACGAAGUAGCAAUACUUAGUGGCAGACGGGUGAGUAACAUGUAGGUAUCUGCCCUUUGGCCUGGAAUAACACGAGGAAACUUGUGCUAAUACCGGAUAAGUCUUUACGGAGAAAGCUUUAUGCACCAUUGGAUGAGCCUGCACUUGAUUAGUUUGUUGGUGGGGUAAUGGCCUACCAAGACUGUGAUCAAUAGCUGAUUUGAAAGGAUGAUCAGCCACAUUGGGACUGAGACACGGCCCAAACUCCUACGGGAGGCAGCAGUGGGGAAUCUUGCACAAUGGAGGAAACUCUGAUGCAGCGAUGCCGCGUGAGUGAAGAAGGCCUUUGGGUUGUAAAGCUCUUUCGUCGGGGAAGAAAAUGACUGUACCCGAAUAAGAAGGUCCGGCUAACUUCGUGCCAGCAGCCGCGGUAAUACGAAGGGACCUAGCGUAGUUCGGAAUUACUGGGCUUAAAGAGUUCGUAGGUGGUUGAAAAAGUUAGUGGUGAAAUCCCAGAGCUUAACUCUGGAACUGCCAUUAAAACUUUUCAGCUAGAGUAUGAUAGAGGAAAGCAGAAUUUCUAGUGUAGAGGUGAAAUUCGUAGAUAUUAGAAAGAAUACCAAUUGCGAAGGCAGCUUUCUGGAUCAUUACUGACACUGAGGAACGAAAGCAUGGGUAGCGAAGAGGAUUAGAUACCCUCGUAGUCCAUGCCGUAAACGAUGUGUGUUAGACGUUGGAAAUUUAUUUUCAGUGUCGCAGGGAAACCGAUAAACACACCGCCUGGGGAGUACGACCGCAAGGUUAAAACUCAAAUGAAUUGACGGGGACCCGCACAAGUAGUGGAGCAUGUGGUUUAAUUCGAAGAUACGCGCAGAACCUUACCAACACUUGACAUGUUCGUCGCGACUCUAAGAGAUUAGAGUUUUCGGUUCGGCCGGACGAAACACAGGUGCUGCAUGGCUGUCGUCAGCUCGUGUCGUGAGAUGUUGGGUUAAGUCCCGCAACGAGCGCAACCCUCACUUUUAGUUGCCAUCAUUAAGUUGGGCACUCUGAAAGAACUGCCAGUGAUAAGCUGGAGGAAGGUGGGGAUGACGUCAAGUCCUCAUGGCCCUUACGUGUUGGGCUACACACGUGCUACAAUGGUAUCUACAACAGGAAGCAAGACUGCGAAGUUAAGCAAAUCCCUAAAAGAUACCUCAGUUCGGAUUGCACUCUGCAACUCGAGUGCAUGAAGCUGGAAUUACUAGUAAUCGUGGAUCAGCGUGCCACGGUGAAUGCGUUCCCGGGUCUUGUACACACCGCCCGUCACACCAUGGGAGUUGGUUCUACCUUAAGGCAAGGUUUAAAACCCUUGACCACGGUAUAGUCAGCGACUGGGGUGAAGUCGUAACAAGGUAACC